rnacentral:lncRNA from 10 species
UAGCUACAAAGGUUACAGCGACGUAGUUGUUUCGUGAUAACUCACUGAAGACUCAAGAUGUGUGCACCUUUUUCUAGGCACAAAUUCCAGCCACCUGGGAAAUGACAAAAGAGACUUCAGAGAAGGGCAGGGGACUUGUGUCAUCUGGGAGCAGAUGAAAGGAGAACAUCAGCUAUAAUGAAAGACCUCAAGAGUAGACUUUUGAUGUUGGGAACCACAUGAAGUUCUGCCUUCAGUCACAGAGAAAAUUGACAGGCUGGAAAACAGACCCUCACAUCCGUGAGAUGGGUCCCACCAUCAGACCAGCU